AUCCUGGCUCAGGACGAACGCUGGCGGCGUGCUUAACACAUGCAAGUCGAACGGUAAGGCCCUUUCGGGGGUACACGAGUGGCGAACGGGUGAGUAACACGUGAGUAACCUGCCCUCAUCUCUGGGAUAACAGUCGGAAACGGUUGCUAAUACUGGAUAUGAGCCUGCAAGGCAUCUUGUGGGUUGGAAAGAUUUUUUUGGUUGGGGAUGGACUCGCGGCCUAUCAGCUUGUUGGUGAGGUAGUGGCUCACCAAGGCUUCGACGGGUAGCCGGCCUGAGAGGGCGACCGGCCACAUUGGGACUGAGAUACGGCCCAAACUCCUACGGGAGGCAGCAGUGGGGAAUAUUGCACAAUGGACGGAAGUCUGAUGCAGCAACGCCGCGUGCGGGAUGACGGCCUUCGGGUUGUAAACCGCUUUCAAUUGUGACGAAGCUUUUUUGUGACGGUAGCAGUAGAAGAAGCACCGGCUAACUACGUGCCAGCAGCCGCGGUGAUACGUAGGGUGCGAGCGUUGUCCGGAUUUAUUGGGCGUAAAGAGCUUGUAGGCGGUUUGUCGCGUCGGGAGUGAAAACUUGGGGCUUAACCCUGAGCUUGCUUUCGAUACGGGCUGACUUGAGGGAGGUAGGGGAGAAUGGAAUUCCUGGUGGAGCGGUGGAAUGCGCAGAUAUCAGGAGGAACACCGGUGGCGAAGGCGGUUCUCUGGACCUUUCCUGACGCUGAGAAGCGAAAGCGUGGGGAGCGAACAGGAUUAGAUACCCUGGUAGUCCACGCCGU
rnacentral:rRNA from 1 species